AGCGAACGCUGGCGGCAGGCCUAACACAUGCAAGUCGAACGAACCUUUCGGGGUUAGUGGCGGACGGGUGAGUAACACGUGGGAACGUGCCCUUAGGUUCGGAAUAACUCAGGGAAACUUGUGCUAAUACCGAAUGUGCCCUUCGGGGGAAAGAUUUAUCGCCUUUAGAGCGGCCCGCGUCUGAUUAGCUAGUUGGUUGAGGUAAUGGCUCACCAAGGCGACGAUCAGUAGCUGGUCUGAGAGGAUGAUCAGCCACAUUGGGACUGAGACACGGCCCAAACUCCUACGGGAAGCAGCAGUGGGGAAUCUUGCGCAAUGGGCGAAAGCCUGACGCAGCCAUGCCGCGUGAAUGAUGAAGGUCUUAGGAUUGUAAAAUUCUUUCACCGGGGACGAUAAUGACGGUACCCGGAGAAGAAGCCCCGGCUAACUUCGUG
rnacentral:rRNA from 1 species